ensembl:rRNA 5S_rRNA 5S ribosomal RNA
GCUUACGGCCACACCUCCCUGAGCUCGUCUGAUCUCGGAAGCUAAGCAGGGUCGGGCCCGGUUAGUACUUGGAUGGGAGACCGCCUGGGAAUACCAGGUGCUGUAAGCC